GACGAACCGUCCAAACGUUAUUCGGAAUUACUGGGCUUAAAGGGUGCGUAGGCGGCGCGGAAAGUUGGGUGUGAAAUCCCUCGGCUCAACCGAGGAACUGCGCCCAAUACUACCGUGCUUGAGGGAGAUAGAGGUGAGCGGAACUUAGGGUGGAGCGGUGAAAUGCGUUGAUAUCCUAAGGAACACCGGUGGCGAAGGCGGCUUUCUGGACAAAUACCGACGCUGAGGCACGAAAGCUAGGGGAGCAAACAGG
rnacentral:rRNA from 1 species